rnacentral:lncRNA from 1 species
UGAUCAUUUGCAUAUCAUCUGCAGUACUGGCUGCACCAAGCCCUGGGGUGCAGACCUAAGAUUCUCGAACCUAAGAGUACCCUUGGCUGCAAGAGGAUCAGAGAGGCACAAUAUAAGAAAAGCCCACCAGUUAUUGGAGAGCGUGGGCAGGAGGAACCUCUGGGUCCCGCAGAUCAGAAAAACUCCGAAGGCCAGAUUGUGAGUCCGGGGAAGGGAGGCGGAGGGUGGGGGCGGGAGGGGCGGGGAGGGGUGGGACUUGCUCCGGCCCCGCCCCCUCGGCUCCGGAGCAGGUCGGGCUCCCCCUGGCGGUCCCCGGCCCCGCUCCUCUCCUCGUGCGUCCCCCUCCCGCCGUCCUAGACCCCCGCCUAGCCCAGGUCGGUCUCCGCGGACCCACAGCGGACCCACGGACGGACAGAGGGACGGGAGGACGGCCAGCCGCGAGCGCCCGGGAGGCGGCAGGGGGGCGGGGAGGCGACGGCCGUGGCGUGAGGAGCAGGAGCAGGUGUAGCGGCGGCGGCGGGCGGGGCCGGGACCCGGCGCGGAGCGGGGGCCGCGGCACGGGCGGGCGGCAGGGACCGGGAGGCCGCGACUCGGAGUCAGCCCCGCCGGGUCGCGCGCCGUGCCGGGGAGCCAGAAUUGAGCCGGGUGGGGUGGUGACUCCGGAGAACGCAGGAUCCCAAGGAGACAGAGAGGACGAGAGCUGGAGGGGGAUCCGGAGAGCGGCGGAGGCUCUCCGAGAAGGGUGGAGUAGGACAUAGGGGGCACACCUGGAGGGGAGACGGGCGGGGGUGGCCAGGACCUGAGCUGGAGCCUGGGAGCCCCGGAGGCCAGGCAGGUGAGGCGGGAGACCCGGAGGUGGGGGUGAGGUCCGGUUAGUGGGAGAGAUCCGGAGGUGUUAAGUUCUGAGCUGGGCUGAGAAGGUAGGCUGGGAGGGGAGACGGGCUCUCAGUGGGAGACCCAGGGUGGUCAGCUGGCGGGGUAAGCUGAGGGAGGACCCAGGGCCAGGUGGAGAGCCGGCAGGGUUGGGGGCUCCCUAGGCGGCAGGCAGGUGGGCUCAAGGGUGAGGCUGUUUUUUUGUUUUGUUUGUUGUUUGUUUUCUGUUUUUGAGACGGAGUCUCGCUCUGUCACCCAGGCUGGAGUGCAGUGGCAUGAUCUGGGCUCACUGCAACCUCUGCCUCCUGGGUUCAAGCGGUUCUCCUGCCUCAGCCUCCUGAGUAGCUGGGAUUACAGGUGCGCACCACCACGCCUGGCUAACUUUUUUAUUUUUAGUAAAGAUGGUGUUUCACCAUGUUGGUCAGGCUGGUCUCGAACUCCUGACGUCGUGAUCUGCCCGCCUCAGCCUCCCAAAGUACUGGGAUUACAGGCAUGAGCCACCGCGCCUGGCCUGAGGCUGAUAUUAAGAAGUGAAGUGGGAUGCAGGUGGAGGGG